AAAUUUUCCUAAAGAGGAAUGAUACCGCUGUUGUAGGAUCAAUAAUUUUCCAGUGUCACUAAAUUGAUGCUCAGUGCAGAAGAUACAUAGUUUUAAAAGGCAGAAGAGACAAUGCAAACUUUCUCUUCAUAAUUUCUUCUUCUUGUGCCAUUGUUUUCUGAUAUAUUUUUUUCUGAUCUUUUCAACCAGCAUCCUUCUACAAUGUGUGAAGACCUUCCAUUUUGUGCUCAGGGCACUGAAAGUGCUGGUGAUCUACAUGUCCUGUAGAUUGAUUUCUCUAUUUGAGACAUUCAUCCACAACAAC
rnacentral:lncRNA from 1 species